CCAGAAGUUUCCCGGAGAGGAAGGCGCGGCUGCCUCCGGGGCCAGUGAGCCCUGGCGCCGCCGCGGCCGCGGCCCCAGUAGCGACAUAGGGCGGCGGCUGCGCCCCGCACCAUGGAGGGCAGCCCAGCCACAGCCGCGGUAGCCGCCGACCUCCGCCGCCAUCCGCGCCGCGUCUGCCCCCUCCCGCUGCGGCUCUCUGGACGCUAUCCCCUCCUCACCUCGAAGCCAACAUGAAGGAGACCCGGGGCUACGGAGGAGGGGGUGCCCCCUUCUGCACCCGCUUCAAUCACUCCUACACAGGCAUGUGGGAGCCCGAGCGUUCCGCCGAGGCGCGGGGCAACCUCACGCGCCCUCCAGGGUCUGGCGAGGAUUGCGGAUCGGUGUCCGUAGCCUUCCCGAUCACCAUGCUGCUCACCGGUUUCGUGGGCAACGCACUGGCCAUGCUGCUAGUGUCGCGCAGCUACCGGCGCCGGGAGAGCAAGCGCAAGAAGUCCUUCCUGCUGUGCAUUGGCUGGCUGGCGCUCACCGACUUGGUCGGGCAGCUUCUCACCACCCCGGUGGUCAUCGUCGUGUACUUGUCCAAGCAGCGAUGGGAGCAGCUCGACCCGUCGGGGCGGCUCUGCACCUUCUUCGGACUGACCAUGACUGUUUUCGGGCUCUCCUCGCUGUUCAUUGCCAGCGCCAUGGCCGUCGAGCGGGCGCUGGCCAUCAGGGCGCCGCACUGGUACGCGAGCCACAUGAAGACGCGUGCCACCCGCGCUGUGCUGCUCGGCGUGUGGCUGGCCGUGCUCGCCUUCGCCCUGCUGCCGGUGCUGGGCGUGGGCCAGUACACCGUCCAGUGGCCCGGGACGUGGUGCUUCAUCAGCACCGGGCGAGGGGGCAACGGGACUAGCUCUUCGAAUAACUGGGGCAACCUUUUCUUCGCCUCUGCCUUUGCCUUCCUGGGGCUCUUGGCGCUGACAGUCACCUUUGCCUGCAACCUGGCCACCAUUAAGGCCCUGGUGUCCCGCUGCCGGGCCAAGGCCACGGCAUCUCAGUCCAGUGCCCAGUGGGGCCGCAUCACGACCGAAACGGCCAUUCAGCUCAUGGGGAUCAUGUGCGUGCUGUCAGUCUGCUGGUCUCCGCUACUGAUAAUGAUGUUGAAAAUGAUCUUCAAUCAGACAUCAGUUGAACACUGCAAGACACAUACAGGGAAGCAGAAAGAAUGCAACUUCUUCUUAAUAGCUGUUCGCCUGGCUUCACUGAACCAGAUCUUGGAUCCUUGGGUUUACCUGCUGUUAAGAAAGAUCCUUCUUCGAAAGUUUUGCCAGGACCACUUCUGCGGUGGAGAGGCUACUGGUUUCCUGGAGCAGAUGGCUGUACAGAAAAACCACACUUCCACUUCUACACAGGCCUGCGGUUUUUGCUAAAGCCAAGAGUUUAUGACAAUUUGGGUUACUAAGGAUACAUCUCUUUGGCCCUAUUGGCUUUUGUUUCUUUUUUUUUGUUUUUCCUUUUGCACGCCCUGUCUGACUUGUAACUUGGGAGAAUGCUUACUGAAAAGCAGAAGAUCAGGUACCACACAAACAACUAUGCAUCCAGCUCCACCUCCUUACCCUGCCAGUGUUCCUCAACCUUGAUGUGGAGUGACCAUUUGGAAAGACAAUGAAAGAACGGAGUCGGACAUUUUAUUGCAAUUCCUGCUUCCCUGAAUUUGCGUAUUUCUUCCCACCUGAGAAGGAGAAUUAUAUAUUUUGAUUUGGAUUAUUUCUUCAUUUUUAUCUGUUUAUUUUAAUGAUUGUUUUGUCGGUAAUAUCCAUGGAGAUCAACUUUAUUAUUAUUAUCCAUGCCUCUGAAUAUUAGAUUGGUUUCUUGAAUGGGAUUUUGAAUAUGCAUUUAAGAAGUUGGGAAGAAUUUCACAGAUGAUGAUUGGAGGAAAAGUGAUGAAAAGAAAGACCUGUGUUCCACGAGUUUUCUCCAGCUUCAAACCUUUACGUGAAUCUUAACCAAAGUGGACAUCUUUACAUUUCAUGACAGCUUGAUUUUACAACAUGAGUUUGAAAAAUCAGUAUAAGUUUACGAUGGUGAAAAGUCAACAUAUUGAGAGCAAUAAUUCAAUUAAUAGGAUAUGAACUUAAUGAGAUAUAAAAGCAAAUGAGGGCAGGAGGGAAUAGUGACAAAAAUAUUUGUCCCCAAUUAUGAUUAAUGUUUUAGAGAUGUUGUGUCCUUGUGGACUUAGCAUGGAACUAAAAGUUUCUGAGUUUCAAUUCUGGUUGUGUGUCAUUUAGUAACUCAGGAAUCUGCUUAAUUGUUAUUUCUAAGCUUUUGACGACAAAGGAGUGAUGCAGCUAAGGGCAUCCUUGAAGGAUCAUAAAAAACAAAUUUGAGAUUGGAUGAUUAGCUGCACAGUUAGAGUGAUAGAAAAAUCCAGGCAUGCCUUCUGAUUCCCCACUAUCAAGUCAGGAUUUCUUAGUAUUUCUUUGCGGGCAGCAUAUACAAAGGCAAAAUUAAUAAAUAACAUAGUUGUUGAAUAACAAAUUUUGUUACAUUUUUAUAAAACAAAAUAAUCUAUUUUGUCUGUAUUAAAAUAAAAAACUUUGUGGACUUUUA